rnacentral:rRNA from 1 species
UACGUAGGGUGCGAGCGUUACUCGGAAUUACUGGGCGUAAAGCGUACGCAGGCGGCUGUGUAAGACAGGUGUGAAAUCCCCGGGCCUAACCUGGGAACUGCAUUUGUGACUGCAUAGCUAGAGUCUGUCAGAGGGGGGUGGAAUUCCACGUGUAGCAGUGAAAUGCGUAGAGAUGUGGAGGAACACCGAUGGCGAAGGCAGCCCCCUGGGAUAAGACUGACGCUCAUGUACGAAAGCGUGGGGAGCAAACAGG